ACUCCUACGGGAGGCAGCAGUGGGGAAUCUUGCGCAAUGGGCGAAAGCCUGACGCAGCCAUGCCGCGUGAAUGAUGAAGGUCUUAGGAUUGUAAAAUUCUUUCACCGGGGACGAUAAUGACGGUACCCGGAGAAGAAGCCCCGGCUAACUCCGUGCCAGCAGCCGCGGUAAUACGGAGGGUGCGAGCGUUAAUCGGAAUUACUGGGGCGUAAAGCGCAUGCAGGCGGCCUGUUAAGUCAGAUGUGAAAGCCCGGGGCUUAACCUCGGAAUUGCAUUUGAAACUGGCAGGCUAGAGUCUUGUAGAGGGGGUAGAAUUUCAGGUGUAGCGGUGAAAUGCGUAGAGAUCUGAAGGAAUACCAGUGGCGAAGGCGGCCCCUGGACAAAGACUGACGCUCAGAUGCGAAAGCGUGGGGAGCAAACAGGAUUAGAUACCCUGGUAGGAUAGCG
rnacentral:rRNA from 1 species